rnacentral:rRNA from 1 species
UACGGGGGGAGCAAGCGUUGUUCGGAUUUACUGGGCGUAAAGGGCGCGUAGGCGGCCACCGCAAGUCGGUUGUGAAAUCUCCGGGCUUAACCCGGAAAGGUCAAUCGAUACUGCGGGGCUAGAGUGCAGAAGGGGCAACUGGAAUUCUCGGUGUAGCGGUGAAAUGCGUAGAUAUCGGGAGGAACACCAGUGGCGAAGGCGGCGAUCUGGGAAGAUACUGACGCUGAGGUGCGAAAGCGUGGGGAGCAAACAGG